rnacentral:rRNA from 1 species
GCUAACGAAGGGCAAGGAGGAGGGGAAGUAGGUGGGGGGGAGGCGUUGGUCUGAAGUGUUGGGCGGAAAGAGGGCGUGGGGGGGUUGGCGCGGCGUGUGUGAGAACCCGAGGCGAAGCCUCGGGCCUGCAGGGGGUACGGGCAGAUGAGAGUGCGGUAGGGGAGAUUGGAAGUCCUGGUGUAGCGGUGGAAUGCGCAGAUAUCAGGAGGAACACCGAUGGUGAAGGCAGAUCUCUGGGCCGUAACUGACGCUGAGGAGCGAAAGGGUGGGGAGCAAACAGGAUUAGAUACCCCGGUAGUC